GAGGGGAGAGAGGGGUCAUCCGGGGAGGCUGGAGGCCCUGGGUCUGCUGAGUGCACCACAGCUGCGGACAGAAGGGAGUUGGGAGAGCUUGCAAGUGCUGGGCAUGCGGGGGACACUUGCCACGUGGUGCUGCUGACCCCCGGUGGGCUGCUGACCCCCGGCGGGCUGCUGCCCUGCUCUGAGCAGCCCCUUGUCUCUCUGAUGGAGACUGUUCUGCCCCCUGUAGUCUGCUGUGAAGGGAUAAGUGGGACAGGGAACAGGUACAGGUCUUGGAAACUGUAGAGUCCUGUGUCCAGUGUAGUGAAGGGCAGGUGGAAAGGAGCAAACAUAGAGAGAUGGUGGAGGGUCUUGAAGGUGGUUUUUGAGCAGGGCAGUGACACAGUCUGUUCAUCCAGAUAACCUUUCAGAGCAGACCCAGGAGCUGUGCUGCCUGUAAAGCAGAGGUACUCGGUGAGGCUGGGGAGGGCGCAGGUGGCCCACAUGGGGCCUCCUGGAGCCCGCAAGGCAUUCAGUUUUAAAGGUCUGCUGGCAUGGUGGCAUAUGCCUAUGGUUCCAGCUGCUUGGGAGGCUGGGACAGGAGUUCCAGGCAGCAGUGAGCCAUGAUUGCACCACUGCACUCCAGCCUGGGCAACAGGAGCAAAACUCCAUCUCAAAGAAAAAGAGUCUGACAUCCCCAAGUACUGCAGAGGAAGAGGCUACACGGCACUCAUACACAGCUGGUGGAAAUGUCAGUUUCACCUCCACUUCUGGAAAGCGCCCCUCUUGGGGACACAGGGCCUGUCGGAUUCACGUCUGUGUCUCCAGGAUGUCUCACAGGGCCUGGCACGUGGUGGCACCUCCAGGACCGCUGGUCAAGAUACCCUCCCCACAGCCAUUGGUCAGGGGUGGCCGUGAGACUCAAGACAGCACAUGUGGCCGGGUGCAAUCGCUCACGCCUGUAAUCCCAGGACUUUGGAACGCUGAGGCAGGCAGAUCACCUGGGAUCAGGAGUUCAAGACAAGCCUGGCCAACAUGGCAAAACCCCAUCUCUACUAAAAAUACAAAAAUUAGCUGGAUGUGGUGGUGGGUGCCUGUAAUCCCAGCUACUCAGGAGGCUGAGGCUGCAGAAUUGCGAGAACCUGGGCAGUGGAGGUUGUAGUGAGCCGAGAUCGCACCACUGCACUCCAGCCUGGGCGAUAGAGCAAGACUCCGUUUUUUAAAUAAAUUACCCAGUUCCAGGUUUUCUGUUAUAAGCAACAGAGAAUGGGUGAAGACAUUUAUUUUUAUCUUUAAUAAUGUAUUUAGGCCAAUUGUAUGCUAGAGAGACCUGACUACUACAAGACAUCAUUGUAUGCUUGCCGAAUAAAUGAAAUACCAUUGAUUAAUUUGCAAACCACAUUCCCAGUGCACCUGAGGUGGCUUCCAACAAGAACAAGGAAGGUAAAAUUUAAAAAACAGAAAUGGAGAUUCAAGAAUGUGGAUGGGUGCAGUGGUAUACACCCGUGCUACCAGUGGUGCACUCCCAGCUACUCUGGAGGCCCGAGGAGGGAGGAUCACUUGAGACCAGGAAUGUGAGUCCAGACUGGGCAACAUAGCAAG
rnacentral:lncRNA from 10 species